rnacentral:rRNA from 1 species
GACGAGGGACCUAGCGUUGUUCGGAAUCAUUGGGCGUAAAGCGGGUGUAGGCGGGCUUCUAAGUCAGGUGUGAAAUCCCAGGGCUCAACCCUGGAAGUGCACUUGAUACUGGAAGUCUUGAAUGUGGUAGAGGCUAUUAGAAUUCUUGGUGUAGUGGUGAAAUACGUAGAUAUCAAGAGGAAUACCGGAGGCGAAGGCGGAUAGCUGGGCCAACAUUGACGCUGAGACCCGAAAGCGUGGGGGAUCAAAACAGG